rnacentral:tRNA from 1 species
GCGUCCUUAGCUUAAGUGCAAAAGCACCAGCCAUUUAAGCUGGAGGUUGAAGGCUCAAUUCCUUCAGGACGCA